CGUGUAGGCGGUCAGGUAAGUGGAAUGUGAAAUGCCCCGGCUUACCCGGGGACCGGCAUCCCAAACUGCCUGGCUUGAGUAUGGGAGAGGAUGGAGGAAUUCCUGGUGUAGCGGUGAAAUGCGUAGAUAUCAGGAGGAACACCGGUGGCGAAGGCGUCCAUCUGGCCCAAUACUGACGCUGAGGCGCGAAAGCUAGGGGAGCAAACGG
rnacentral:rRNA from 1 species